CCUACGGGAGGCAGCAGUGGGGAAUAUUUCGCAAUGGGGGAAACCCUGAUGCAGCCACGCCGCGUGAGUGAAGAAGUAUUUCGGUAUGUAAAACUCUAUUAGCAGGGAAGAAAAUGACGGUACCUGACUCAGACGCCCCGGCUAAAUACGUUCCAGCAACCGCGGUACUACGUAGGGGGCAAGCGUUAUCCGGAUUUACUGGGUGUAAAGGGAGCGUAGACGGUCAGACAAGUCAGAAGUGAAAGCCCAGGGCUCAACCCUGGAACUGCUUUUGAAACUGACGGGCUUGAGUGCAGUAGAGGUAAGCGGAAUUCCUAGUGUAGCGGUGAAAUGCGUAGAUAUUAGGAGGAACACCAGUGGCGAAGGCGGCUUACUGGACUGUAACUGACGUUGAGGCUCGAAAGCGUGGGGAGCAAACAGGAUUAGAUACCCGAGUAGUC
rnacentral:rRNA from 1 species